AUCCCAUGAUGAGGACACUUAUGAAGUAAUUCCUUAAAUCUUCCCCAUGCCUCAUACAAGGACUCAUCAUCCAAAUGUGAAAAAGUGGUUAUCUCAUUUCGUAACUU
rnacentral:snoRNA from 1 species